GGCUGGCACAAUCGGUAGCGCGUGAGACUCUUAAUCUCAAGGUUGAGGGUUCGGUACGUUCAUCCCA